rnacentral:rRNA from 1 species
UACGAAGGGGGCGAGCGUUGUUCGGAUUUACUGGGCGUAAAGGGCGCGCAGGCGGCCGCAUUUGUCAGGCGUGAAAGCCCCGGGCUUAACCUGGGAAUGGCGUUUGGGACUGGGUCGCUAGAGUGUGGCAGAGGGAGGUGGAAUUCCACGUGUAGCAGUGAAAUGCGUAGAGAUGUGGAGGAACACCGAUGGCGAAGGCAGCCUCCUGGGCCAGCACUGACGCUCAUGCACGAAAGCGUGGGGAGCAAACAGG